GCAAAACGCGAAGAACCUUACCUGGUCUUGACAUCCACAGAAUUCUGCAGAGAUGCGGAAGUGCCUUCGGGAACUGUGAGACAGGUGCUGCAUGGCUGUCGUCAGCUCGUGUUGUGAAAUGUUGGGUUAAGUCCCGCAACGAGCGCAACCCUUAUCCUUUGUUGCCAGCGGUCCGGCCGGGAACUCAAAGGAGACUGCCAGUGAUAAACUGGAGGAAGGUGGGGAUGACGUCAAGUCAUCAUGGCCCUUACGACCAGGGCUACACACGUGCUACAAUGGCGCAUACAAAGAGAAGCGACCCGCGAGGGCAAGCGACCUCAUAAAGUGCGUCGUAGUCCGGAUUGGAGUCUGCAACUCGACUCCAUGAAGUCGGAAUCGCUAGUAAUCGUGGAUCAGAAUGCCACGGUGAAUACGUU
rnacentral:rRNA from 1 species